UAAAAACCACAUGUCCGAUUUG
rnacentral:miRNA from 1 species